UGGUUUUGGUGCGCCGUUUGCUCCACCCUAGCAAGAGCAGUGGGGGUGGUCGAUUAGCGGUGGGGAACGCGCCUUUCAAAUCGGGAUAAUGCGGGUAAGCUUGUGCUAAGGCCUUAGCACCUGCUUCACCGUGUGGUUUUGAUUUGAUGGGCGGGUUCCGGUGGUGUUGAUGGAUGGUCCGCCGGUGCAUUUUCUACGGUGGGGCAAGCCCGGGUGGCAAAGGCAGCGUGCGUAUUGGAUGUGUUAGGGUGAUCGCCCGCGUUGGUACUGAGACAGGGUCCAAACUCCAACGGGAGGCAGCAGUAGGGAAUCUUCGGCAAUGGACGAAAGUCUGACCGAGCAACGCCGCGUGAGUGAAGAAGGUUUUCGGAUCGUAAAACUCUGUUGUUAGAGAAGAACAAGGAUGAGAGUAACUGUUCAUCCCUUGACGGUAUCUAACCAGAAAGCCACGGCUAACUACGUGCCAGCAGCCGCGGUAAUACGUAGGUGGCAAGCGUUGUCCGGAUUUAUUGGGCGUAAAGCGAGCGCAGGCGGUUUCUUAAGUCUGAUGUGAAAGCCCCCGGCUCAACCGGGGAGGGUCAUUGGAAACUGGGAGACUUGAGUGCAGAAGAGGAGAGUGGAAUUCCAUGUGUAGCGGUGAAAUGCGUAGAUAUAUGGAGGAACACCAGUGGCGAAGGCGGCUCUCUGGUCUGUAACUGACGCUGAGGCUCGAAAGCGUGGGGAGCAAACAGGAUUUAGAUACCCUGGUAGUCCACGCCGUAAACGAUGAGUGCUAAGUGUUGGAGGGUUUCCGCCCUUCAGUGCUGCAGCUAACGCAUUAAGCACUCCGCCUGGGGAGUACGACCGCAAGGUUGAAACUCAAAGGAAUUGACGGGGGCCCGCACAAGCGGUGGAGCAUGUGGUUUAAUUCGAAGCAACGCGAAGAACCUUACCAGGUCUUGACAUCCUUUGACCACUCUAGAGAUAGAGCUUCCCCUUCGGGGGCAAAGUGACAGGUGGUGCAUGGUUGUCGUCAGCUCGUGUCGUGAGAUGUUGGGUUAAGUCCCGCAACGAGCGCAACCCUUAUUGUUAGUUGCCAUCAUUCAGUUGGGCACUCUAGCAAGACUGCCGGUGACAAACCGGAGGAAGGUGGGGAUGACGUCAAAUCAUCAUGCCCCUUAUGACCUGGGCUACACACGUGCUACAAUGGGAAGUACAACGAGUUGCGAAGUCGCGAGGCUAAGCUAAUCUCUUAAAGCUUCUCUCAGUUCGGAUUGCAGGCUGCAACUCGCCUGCAUGAAGCCGGAAUCGCUAGUAAUCGCGGAUCAGCACGCCGCGGUGAAUACGUUCCCGGGCCUUGUACACACCGCCCGUCACACCACGAGAGUUUGUAACACCCGAAGUCGGUGAGGUAACCUUUUGGAGCCAGCCGCCUAAGGUGGGAUA
rnacentral:rRNA from 1 species